AGGACUGAACUCUGUUUGCAAAAAACGAGAUCUCACGCUACUGAUCUCGCAUGAUAUCGUAGUACCUUAGGCCUGUUCUCUAUAAAUGCACCGAAAGUUUGAAGCAAUGAAGCAGGCAAAGAAACCGCGACAGAGAGGAGAUCUUUGCAAGGUUAUGGCUGCUGGCAUAUGAUUUAUUGCAUCCAUACUCCAUCCCAUAUUUCAUUCUGCUGACACAAAGUGACAUGAAUUUCAUUCUUCUUCCUCCAGCAAGCCACAUGCCUUCAGGAAGAACUCAAUGUGUAUGAAGGCCAACACCAACUUAAAUACUGGCAGCUGUGAAUUCACAU